rnacentral:misc_RNA from 1 species
AAGGAUCAUUAACACAUCCUAACUACACCCAUCAUUUUACAUUGAUGAACAACAGUGUUUUCACAACCAAAACUUCAACGUGAACGGAAGCGACGCUUCGGCGAUGCUUUUUGUUCCCCUUUUCAACAAAAACCCCUUUCACAUAACCAAAACAAAACAUUUAAAACCCCAUUCUAAAACCAAAACAUAUCAUAAACUAUAAUGUCUAAACGACUCUUAGCAACGGAUAUCUUGGUUCUC